UACGUAGGGGGCAAGCGUUGUCCGGAAUCAUUGGGCGUAAAGCGUGCGUAGGUGGCUUUACAAGUCAGGGGUGAAAUCCUGGGGCUCAACCCCAGAAUUGCCUUUGAAACUGUAGAGCUGGAGUAUCGGAGGGGAUAGCGGAAUUGCUAAUGUAGAGGUGAAAUUCGUAGAUAUUAGCAGGAACACCGGUGGCGAAGGCGGCUAUCUGGACGAUUACUGACACUCUGGCACGAAAGCGUGGGGAUCAAACAGG
rnacentral:rRNA from 1 species